UUCUAAACCUCUCAAAUUAUGCAGUUCUUCAACAUCUUUUCCCUUUUCCUUUUUGUGUCUUUCCUCUUUUUGUUAAUUAAAUGGAAGAAUUCCAAUAGCAAAACCAAAAGAUUGCCUCCUGGUCCAUGGAAAUUACCUUUAAUUGGAAGCAUGUUUCAUUUGUUUGGUGGACUUUCACAUCAUGUCUUUAGAGAUUUAGCGAAAAAAUAUGGACCAAUUAUGCACCUUCAACUAGGUGAAGUUUCUCUAGUUGUUGUUACUUCUCCUGACAUGGCUAAAGAAGUGCUAAAAACUCAUGACCUCGCUUUUGCAUUUAGGCCCAAGCUUCUAGUUGGGGAGAUUCUCUUUUAUAAGUGGACUAAUAUUGUUUUUUCUCCCUAUGGUGAUUACUUGCAACAAAUGCGUAAAAUAUGUCUAUUGGAAUUGCUUAGCGCAAAAAAUGUUAAGUCAUUCAACUCUAUUAGAGAAGAUGAAGUUCAUCAUAUGAUUGAGUUUUUUCGAUCAUCUUCUGGUGAAACAAUUAAUGUAACAAAAAGGAUUUAUCAAUUCUCGAGCUCUAUGACAUGUAGAUCAGCAUUUGGGAAAGUAGUCAAAGAGCAAAAUAAACUCAUAGAACUCGUUAAAGAAGCGUCACGCUUUUUUAAAGGAUUUGAUGUAGCUGAUAUAUUUCCAUCACUAAAAUUUCUUCAUGUGUUAUGUGGAAUUAAGGGUAAAAUUAUGGAUGCUCACCAUGAGUUAGAUGUCAUUCUUGAAAACAUCAUCAAUGAGCACAAGAACAAUGGUGAAUUAGGAGGUGAAGGUUUACUUGUUGCAUUGCUAAGAUUAAUGAAGGAGGGAGGCUUUCAAUUUCCAAUCACCAAUGACAAUAUCAAAGCUAUUAUUUUUGACAUGUUUGCUGCGGGAACACAGAGUUCAUCAAUAUUAAUUGAUUGGGCCAUGGUGGAAAUGAUGAGGAAUCCAAGUGUACUUUUGAAAGCUCAAGCUGAGAUAAGAAAUGCUUUCAAAGGAAAAGAAACUUUUAAUGAAAACGAUGUUGAAGAAUUGAAAUACCUUAAGUUGGUUGUUAAAGAAACUUUCCUUUGAAAACAAAAGUUAUGGUUAAUGCCUACGCAAUCGGAAGAGAUCCUAAAUAUUGGAUUGACGCAGAAUGUUUCAAACCUGAGAGAUUUGAGCAUAUUUCGGUAGAUUUUAUUGGCAAUAACUUUGAAUUUCUUCCGUUUGGUAGUGGAAGGAGGAGUUGUCCGGGGAUAUCAUUUGGUUUAGCUAAUAUUUUUUUCCCACUAGCUAAAUUGUUGUAUCACUUUGAUUGGAAACUUCCUAUUGGAAUCAAUCCAAGUGAUUUGGACCUAACUGAAUCUGCUGGAUUAGCUUGUGCUAGAAAGAGUAACCUAUACUUGAUCGCGACUCCUUAUGAACCUAGUCAAGAGUGAUGCCAUGGAAUCAAACGUUAAUAAAGGACUUUGCCUUUUAAAUUUCCUUGGCAAUCCAACCAUAGUACUUUCAUUUUCGAUUUUACGUCAAAUAAAUGUAUCUUAUUUAUACCAGACAAUAAUGUCAUUAUGUUCGAAUUAAAGAAUAUAUUUAUAUUAUAUUAAAUUUGAUCA